ACUUUUACCUUGUGCAACCCCUUGUAGCUACUUCUGGGUGCUCACACCCUGCAGGAGAUGUCUCAGAGGGGCUGCCUGCCCCCGACACCACCACC